AUUGAACGCUGGCGGCAGGCCUAACACAUGCAAGUCGAACGAGUGGCGGACGGGUGAGUAAUGUCUGGGAAACUGCCUGAUGGAGGGGGAUAACUACUGGAAACGGUAGCUAAUACCGCAUACCAUCAGAUGUGCCCAGAUGGGAUUAGCUUGUUGGUGGGGUACCGGCUCACCAAGGCGACGAUCCCUAGCUGGUCUGAGAGGAUGACAAGCCCCACGGAAAGUGAGACAAGGUCCAGACUGCUACGGGAGGGAGCAGUGGGGAAUAUUGGACAAUGGACUCAAGCCUGAUGCAGCCAUGCCGGGUGUAUGAAGAAGGCCUUCGAGUUGUAAAGUACUUUCAGCGGGGAGGCGUUACCCGCAGAAGAAGCACCGGCUAACUCCGUGCCAGCAGCCGCGGUAAUUC
rnacentral:rRNA from 1 species